rnacentral:rRNA from 1 species
AGAGUUUGAUCAUGGCUCAGAGUGAACGCUGGCGGCGUGCUUAACACAUGCAAGUCGAGGGGCAGCAGCAGAGAACUUUGGUUCUCUGGCUGGCGACCGGCGGACGGGUGAGUAACACGUAGCUACUUGCCCCACAGAGGGGGAUAACCCGGGGAAACCCGGGCUAAUACCGCAUAUACCCGAGAGGGGAAAGCCGCAAGGCGCUGUGGGAUAGGGCUGCGGCGUAUCAGGUAGUUGGUGGGGUAACGGCCUACCAAGCCGAUGACGCAUAGCUGGUCUGAGAGGAUGAUCAGCCACACUGGAACUGAGACACGGUCCAGACUCCUACGGGAGGCAGCAGUGGGGAAUAUUGGGCAAUGGGCGGAAGCCUGACCCAGCAACGCCGCGUGGAGGAAGACGCCCUUCGGGGUGUAAACUCCUUUUGCAGGGGAAGAGAGAGACGGUACCCUGCGAAUAAGCUCCGGCUAACUCCGUGCCAGCAGCCGCGGUAAUACGGGGGGAGCGAGCGUUACUCGGAAUCACUGGGCGUAAAGGGUGCGUAGGCGGCUUAGUAAGUUGGGAGUGAAAGCCUACGGCUUAACCGUAGAACUGCUUCCAAAACUGCUAAGCUAGAGUCCGGGAGAGGCUGCGGGAAUUCCUGGUGUA